UACGAAGGGGGCGAGCGUUGUUCGGAUUUACUGGGCGUAAAGGGCGCGCAGGCGGUCUUGAAAGUCAGGCGUGAAAGCCCCGGGCUUAACCUGGGAAUUGCGCUUGAUACUCUGAGACUGGAGUACGGGAGAGGAGAGUGGAAUUCCCAGUGUAGAGGUGAAAUUCGUAGAUAUUGGGAAGAACACCAGUGGCGAAGGCGGCUCUCUGGACCGUAACUGACGCUGAGGCGCGAAAGCGUGGGGAUCAAACAGG
rnacentral:rRNA from 1 species